AUGUCCUUCACAAUUAACAUACAAAGCUCUUCCUUGUUUUGGGUGGUUGCCUCCAAGUUAGGGAAAUUCUGGUUUAGGGUUGAUUCUGAACUUUUUAGUUUAGAGGAAGACUUUGGAAGCUGUUCACGAAGCUGACUUUCAAGAAGCUGUUCACCAUUAUAUGAUUGAUGAGAAGCUCCUGAAAUUGAACAAGGAUGGCCUAAGAUUGAUGAGAAGGCGGAUAUGUACACCUUAGGUGAAAGGAAGAAUUUGUGGAAUUGGUGCACCACAUGAAUAUUUUUGGAAUUAGUUUGGUUGUAUUUUUUACUUAGUUUGGUUCUAUUUCUUGAUUCAGUUUGGAAUUGGUGCACCAUUUUUGCAAAAUUUUUGGAAUUAAUUUGGUUGUAUUUCUUGAAUUUCUUGAUUCAGUUCAGGUUGAUUAUUGUUCU